rnacentral:rRNA from 1 species
GAUGAACGCUGGCGGCGUGCCUAAUACAUGCAAGUCGAGCGAACAGACGAGGAGCUUGCUCCUCUGACGUUAGCGGCGGACGGGUGAGUAACACGUGGAUAACCUACCUAUAAGACUGGGAUAACUUCGGGAAACCGGAGCUAAUACCGGAUAAUAUAUUGAACCGCAUGGUUCAAUAGUGAAAGACGGUUUUGCUGUCACUUAUAGAUGGAUCCGCGCCGCAUUAGCUAGUUGGUAAGGUAACGGCUUACCAAGGCAACGAUGCGUAGCCGACCUGAGAGGGUGAUCGGCCACACUGGAACUGAGACACGGUCCAGACUCCUACGGGAAGCAGCAGUAGAGAAUCUUCCGCAAUGGGCGAAAGCCUGACGGAGCAACGCCGCGUGAGUGAUGAAGGUCUUCGGAUCGUAAAACUCUGUUAUUAGGGAAGAACAAAUGUGUAAGUAACUAUGCACGUCUUGACGGUACCUAAUCAGAAAGCCACGGCUAGCUACGUG